UACAACGGUCCUAAAAACUAU
rnacentral:piRNA from 1 species